rnacentral:rRNA from 1 species
CCUACGGGUGGCAGCAGUGAGGAAUAUUGGUCAAUGGCCGAGAGGCUGAACCAGCCAAGUCGCGUGAGGGAAGACGGCCCUACGGGUUGUAAACCUCUUUUGUCGGGGGGCAAAGCGAGUCACGUGUGAAUCAUUGAGAGUACCCGAUGAAAAAGCAUCGGCUAACUCCGUGCCAGCAGCCGCGGUAAUACGGAGGAUGCGAGCGUUAUCCGGAUUUAUUGGGUUUAAAGGGUGCGCAGGCGGAGGUGCAAGUCAGCGGUCAAAUUGCGGGGCUCAACCCCGUACUGCCGUUGACACGGCAGCCCUUGAGUGCGCGGGAAGUAUGCGGAAUGCGUGGUGUAGCGGUGAAAUGCAUAGAUAUCACGCAGAACUCCGAUUGCGAAGGCAGCAUACCGGCGCGCAACUGACGCUCAUGCACGAAAGCGUGGGUAUCGAACAGGAUUAGAUACCCGAGUAGUC